AUCGAACGCUGGCGGCAGGCCUAACACAUGCAAGUCGAGCGGAGCGGCGGACGGGUGAGUAAUGCCUAGGAAUCUGCCUGGUAGUGGGGGAAACCGUCCGGAAACGGGCGCUAAUACCGCAUACUAUCAGAUGAGCCUAGGUCGGAUUAGCUAGUUGGUGGGGUAAAGGCCUACCAAGGCGACGAUCCGUAACUGGCCUGAGAGGAGGAUCAGUGACACUGGAACUGAGACACGGUCCAGACUCCGAAGGGAGGCAGCAGUAGGGAAUAUUGGACAAUGGGCGAAAGCCUGAUCCAGACAUGCCGCGUGUGUGAAGAAGGUCUUCGGAUUGUAAAGCACUUUAGGUUGGGAGGCGUUACCAAAAGAAUAAGCACCGGCUAACUUCGUGCCAGCAGCCGCGGUAAUAC
rnacentral:rRNA from 1 species